AUACGGAGGAUCCGAGCGUUAUCCGGAUUUAUUGGGUUUAAAGGGUGCGCAGGCGGGAGAUUAAGUCGGCGGUGAAAUUUUGCAGCUCAACUGUAAAAGUGCCUUCGAAACUGGUUUCCUUGAGUGUAGAUGAAGUAGGCGGAAUUUGUGGUGUAGCGGUGAAAUGCAUAGAUAUCACGAGGAACUCCGAUUGCGCAGGCAGCUUACUAAACUACUACUGACGCUCAGGCACGAAGGCGUGGGGAUCAAACAGGAUUAGAUACCCUGGUAGUCCACGCAGUAAACGAUGAUUACUAGCUGUUUGCGAUACAAUGUAAGCGGCUGAGCGAAAGCGUUAAGUAAUCCACCUGGGGAGUACGAUCGCAAGAUUGAAACUCAAAUGAAUUGACGGGG
rnacentral:rRNA from 1 species